rnacentral:rRNA from 1 species
AGUGAACGCUGGCGGUAGGCCUAACACAUGCAAGUCGAACGGCAGCACAGUAAGAGCUUGCUCUUACGGGUGGCGAGUGGCGGACGGGUGAGGAAUACAUCGGAAUCUACUUUUUCGUGGGGGAUAACGUAGGGAAACUUACGCUAAUACCGCAUACGACCUACGUGUGAAAGCAGGGGAUCUUCGGACCUUGCGCGAUUGAAUGAGCCGAUGUCGGAUUAGCUAGUUGGCGGGGUAAAGGCCCACCAAGGCGACGAUCCGUAGCUGGUGUGAGAGGAUGAUCAGCCACACUGGAACUGAGACACGGUCCAGACUCCUACGGGAGGCAGCAGUGGGGAAUAUUGGACAAUGGGCGCAAGCAUGAUCCAGCCAUACCGCGUGGGUGAAGAAGGCCUUCGGGUUGUAAAGCCCUUUUGUUGGGAAAGAAAAGCAGCAGGUUAAUACCCAGCUGUUCUGACGGUACCCAAAGAAUAAGCACCGGCUAACUUCGUG